rnacentral:rRNA from 1 species
GCAGAACGCGAAGAACCUUACCAGGUCUUGACAUCCUAGAAACUUUCCAGAGAUGGAUUGGUGCCUUCGGGAAUCUAGAGACAGGUGCUGCAUAGCUGUCGUCAGCUCGUGUCGUGAGAUGUUGGGUUAAGUCCCGUAACGAGCGCGAACCCUUGUCCUUAGUUGCCAGCGAGUAACUGUCGGGAACUCUAAGGAGACUGCCGGUAACAAACCGGAGGAAGGUGGGGACGACGGUCAAGUCAUCAUGGCCCUUACGACCUGGCUACACACGUGCUACAAUGGGGCGCACAAAGGGUUGCCAAGCCGCGAGGUGGAGCUAAUCCCAUAAAACGUCUCGUAGUCCGGAUUGGAGUCUGCGAACUCGACUCCAUGAAGUCGGAAUCGCUAGUAAUCGUAAAUCAGAAUGUUACGGUGAAUACGUUCCCGGGUCUUGUACACACCG